UUAGAAGGGCUGGAAUCUGUUUUAGGACUGGGAUUGGAGUAUAACAGGGGAACGGUUAAGGAGCUGUGGAGGAGGCCUAGAGGGAAUGGAGAGAAUGAGGGAGAAUCUAGGGAGUGUGAGGAUGCGGGAGAACUUUCUAAAAGUUGGGGACAGUAUCUGGGGAGGAUCAGAAAGAUACAACCUGGAAUUUUUUUCCAUGGUGUUCCUGGGAAGGACAAGGAAGGGAAACUGACAUUUAUUGAGCAUUUGCUAUGUAAGAAAGGGGCUGAGUCAGGUGUUUUCUAAAAAUGUUAUAUGGUUUCAUAAUCACAGCAACCCUAUGAAAUAUUAUUCUAGUUGCACAGAUACGGGAGCUAAGACUUGUUUCCCAGUCUCACAAGUGUUAGCUUUGUGGAAAUGGGAAACAGACCUCUGGAAUCUCUUAUACUUAGCCCAGCGGUGGGUUGGAGAUGGCAAGGAAUUAAAGAUUUGGGAAGAGACUGACUCACCGUCACACCCCUCACUUUUGUGCUAUAGUGGAUCAAUCUUCCUGUCCUACACCUGACCAAGGAUCCCCUAAAGACCCCUGGAAGGCUGGACCAUGGCACAAGAACUGCCUUCAUCCAUCACCGGGAGCAAGUGUGGAAGAGAUGCAUCAACAUUUGGCGUGAUGUGGGCCUUUUUGGGGUGCUAAAUGAAAUUGCAAACUCAGAAGAAGAGGUGUUUGAGUGGGUGAAGACGGCAUCCGGCUGGGCCAUGGCACUCUGUCAAUGGGCCUCUUCUCUCCAUGGGUCCCUCUUCCCCCAUCUGUCUCUCAGGAGCGAAGAUCUGAUUGCUGAAUUUGCCCAAGUCACAAAUUGGUCCAGCUGCUGCUUGCGUGUCUUUGCAUGGCACCCCCACACCAACAAGUUUGCAGUGGCCCUGCUAGAUGACUCAGUCCGUGUGUAUAAUGCCAGCAGCACCAUAGUCCCCUCCCUGAAGCACCGGCUGCAGCGAAAUGUGGCGGCUCUGGCCUGGAAGCCCCUUAGUGCCUCUGUCUUGGCUGUGGCCUGCCAGAGCUGCAUUCUUAUCUGGACCCUGGACCCUACCUCCUUGUCUACCCGACCCUCUUCUGGCUGUGCCCAAGUGCUGUCUCAUCCUGGGCAUACACCUGUUACCAGCUUGGCCUGGGCCCC
rnacentral:sRNA from 1 species